rnacentral:lncRNA from 10 species
GUAUUUGAUUUCAGGCACUACCUGGCUUCCCAGAAUGCCAGCUUUCACCAGAGUCCAUGAGAGGCUGCUCGGGCUGUUCCUGCCUGGGGUCUGAGUUUUCUGGCCCCGUGCUGAGGCAGGCCUCCCCCGCAGACCCUUUCAGAUCUACAGCUCUUUCUGAUAAACCCAAGACCAGUCCCAACCAAACCAACUGGAAAGGGUCCAGGGUCAAUUCUCAAACCCUUUUGGAGACCCUGAGCCCAACCCCUCCCACUUGGGGUGCCUUUUCCAUCUCAUAAAGGAGUUGAAGAGCAGUCUUUCAUUUUUUCUUCCCCUUUGUGUGAGUCCAGGACUUGGAGAAAAGCCUUUCUUCUCCUCAGACCCUCUUUGGAGCAAAGUCCUGGUGGUCUCUUGGAUGGGCCAGGUCCCUAAGCUGGGCAGGCAGGUGUGCCAGCAGCCCACCUUCCAGAGCCUACCUUCACGCCUCACAAGGAAACAGCUUGGAAAGGACUGGGGCAUACCAACAUGUUUACGGAAUCAGCCUUUGGCAUUGGAAUAGAUCCAGUUUCAAAUCUCUAGGCCACUCCAUCAUUUAACGGAUAGAGGUUGGCCAGGCGCAGUGGCUCAUGCCUGUAAUCCCAGCACUUUGGGAAGCUGAGGCAGGCGGAUCAUCUGAGGUCAGGAGUUUGAGACCAGCCUGGCCAACAUGGCAAAACCCCAUCUCUACUGAAACUACAUAAAAUUAGCCAGGCAUGGUGUAGCCAUGCGCCUGUAGCCACAGCUACUCAGGAGGCUGAGGCAGGAGGAACACUUGAACCUGGGAGAUGGAGGCUGCAGUGAGUUGAGAUUGCAUCAUUGAACUCCAGCCUGGGCAACAGAGCAAGACUCCAUCUCAAAAAAAAUUUUAAAAUAAAGGAUAGAGGUAGAAGAGGACUAAUCAAAGGGCAAAGAGGAGAAUCCAGAAGGCCUGGUGUUAAGAAAGCUAGGAAAAGUGAUAUUGCCUGUUGCAAAAUGGACAGAGAAGGCAGUGUGAGACAUUGCAAGGUGGAGCCUUUGGGAGGUCAUCAGGGUGGAGCCCUCAUAAGGAGAUUGGUGCCCUUAUAAGAAGAAGAAACCAGAGCCCUCUCUUGCUCUGCCAGGUGAGGACACAGUGAGAAGAAGGCCAUCUGCAAGCAGGAAUGGGUCCUCACUAGGAAUCAAAUCUGCUGGCACCUUGAUCUUGAACUUCCCAGCUUCCAGAACUGUGAGAAAUAAAUGUCUGUUUUUAAGCUACCC